AGAAGGAAGGAGAGGAGGAGGAGGAAGAAGUAGUGGAGGAAGAGGAAGAAGUAGUGGAAGAAGAAGAAGUGGAAGAAGAAGAAGAAGAAGUAGUGGAAGAAGAAGAAGAAGAAGAAGUAGUGGAAGAAGAAGGAGAAGAAGUAGUGGAAGAAGAAGAAGAAGUAGUAGUGGAAGAAGAAGAAGUAGUGGAAGAAGAAUUAGAAGAAGAAGUAGUGGAAGAAGAAGAAGAAGAAGAAGUAGUAGUGGAAGAAGAAGAAGAAGUAGUAGAAGAAGAAGAAGAAGAAGUAGUGGAAGAAGAAGAAGAAGAAG
rnacentral:misc_RNA from 1 species